CGUGAUGCGCUGCCGAGUGAGUCUGGAGCCGGAGGAACCAACGGUGCCGGGUAGAGACGAGCCUGUUCCGGAUCCCUGAAAGAUGUGGAAAAGUUAAGGAAGAAGGAAACGCUUUUACUCGUACAAUUGAGCAUCAGAGAGCAAACUGAGUGUUUGGACAGAAAGCACCAUAUGGCCGGAGCUUUCCCUGGGUUAGAGCCUGCAUGUUCUUCUGAGCACACUUCUCUUCCAGAUUCCACCCACGGUCCAAAGACAAGCAGAUUACACUGAUCAGCGAUGAGCGAGGGAGCUCAUAAAGACCGUUAGCUCAAUCAAAACGAAUGAUUAUGUUGGCAAAGCAGAAGUAAAAUCAUUUAAAGGAGAUAGAAGGUAAUAAAAAAAAAGGUACGUUUAAACGCCUUUUAGAGCGAGGUGAAAAUUCAAUGUGAAUAUUUUGCGGUUUUAAAAAAAGUGACACCUUUCCAAGUAUGCCAUAAAGCGUUAGCUGUAACUUUAAACUGCACUAAAAGCAGCAGGAAGGGCAAAUUCUCAAAGGCCAGGGAACAGUUUCCUCCAAAAAAAGAUUGAAAAAAAGCUUUUCUUCACAAGAACAGGGAGAAUAAAGGAUGAAAGUCUAAAAUGAAUGUGUCAUUUCAUUAGACGUACUUUAAUCGAACUUGUUAUGAUGCGACGUGUGUUUACAGGAAUCAGCUGACGGCUGCAGUGAGAACAGAGUUCUGCUUGACCUAAUGAGAGGCGACACUCUGCACGCUUCUCUGCUCGAGACGCAGAGCAGUUGGUGAGAACUGCCGGUGACAGCUGCUGACAAAUUCAGCUGUCUAUCCCCAACACAGCCACCGGGAAGCAGGCUCGACUCUCACCGCUAACAUUUGUAACCAUUAACAAAAAGAAUGUUUCAAACUGGAGCUAUAAAUACACUCAGUGACUCCCAGAAAGGAUCUGUUGAUACCAGUGCCUUGCUAAAGUAUUCAUAUCUCUUUUGUUAACGUUUUAAUCACAUUACAACCUCAAACGUCAGUGUGACUUUUUUUUAAUUUUAGUUUGUGAUGGGGUGAUCUUGUCACGACAAGCAAUAAAUCAAUUCAUCGCACGCUAAAUUAAAAAUGAGCUUGAUCAUUUCAACUUGGACAAUAAUCUUUAAAAAGACACUUCCCUUUUAAUAUUGUUGAAAAGCCGCCAUUUUGAUAAACACUGGAAACAUUUGACAUCCACUAUGAAGUAGUUAGUUUGCACUUUUUUCCCAUAUAAAAAUUCUACUUGGCUCUUUUGUUUUCCCUGUCCAAGAGGAAUGAUUCAUAUUUUUUUCGAAUGGUUCCAGAUGCUUCAUAAUCUAUUUUAAUUAUUGUUGUCUCAGUUGUUUUGUUUAGUUAUCUUGGAUAUUUAAAAUGUUUUCCAGUUCCAGUGUUAAAUGUUCUUGAUUUUUGAGAUGGUGUUCUUGCAUUAGUAUGUCAGUAUUAUUAUUAUUAUAUUAGUUGAAAAUGUUCUCAAAAUGACAAUGUUAUUGUUUAUCGUGAUACUUUCUGGCAUAAUUUAUGGUCCAGCAAAAUUUGCUAUCGUGACAGAAUUAUGAUAGGCCAACACAAAAUUGGACACAAUUAUAAAUGGUAGGCGAAAUGAUUUUUAAGUUCACAAAUGUAUCAAAACUUGAUUGUCCACCUAAACUGACAAGUCUGGGCAAGGGAAAUAUUAAUCAGAGAAGAAGUCAGAUGGGCCAAUAUAACUCUGGAGGAGCUGCAUAAAUCCAUAAAUCUGGUCAUUUUGAAUUACUGGCAAAAAGACGUCUGUUUUUUAAAAAACGCAUACAACAAGCAGCCUCUAAAAGUCUCCAGAUUUUAUAGACCAGAAGAAACAUACCUCAAAAGACUUGCAACUGAAAGCCAUGAAUCGUUUUUACAAUUAUCAAUAUCAAUUAUGUGACACUUUUUGUUUACUAGAUAUUUUUAAAUGCAUAAAAGUUUUUGACUAUGAGAAAAAGUUUAGAUGCUCUAAAUAUUGGUUGCGAGGCACUGUGUGAAAACUAUGGCUGAGUUGUGCUGUCAAAUAAUAACCAAAACAUGCAAUUACAGAAUAUUUUCCAACUAAUCCUUUUGCGUUUUUCCCUGAUGUUGCGGUAAUAAAAACAGGACAGGUUGGAGAAAAAAAAACAGACAGAC